UCAUAUGAUGAUAACACAUUCUUUUAUUUAUUUUCUGGUACCUCUUAUAUCAUCAGGCUAUUCGGCUUGAAAUGUAUUAAACGGACUUCUGAUC
rnacentral:snoRNA from 1 species